rnacentral:rRNA from 1 species
UACGGGGGGAGCAAGCGUUGUUCGGAUUUACUGGGCGUAAAGGGCGCGUAGGCGGCCAGCACAAGUCAGUUGUGAAAUCUCCGGGCUUAACUCGGAAAGGUCAACUGAUACUGUGCGGCUAGAGUGCAGAAGGGGCAACUGGAAUUCUCGGUGUAGCGGUGAAAUGCGUAGAUAUCGAGAGGAACACCUGCGGCGAAAGGCGGGUUGCUGGGCUGACACUGACGCUGAUGCGCGAAAGCGUGGGGAGCAAACAGG